UACGGGGGGAGCAAGCGUUGUUCGGAUUUACUGGGCGUAAAGGGUGCGCAGGCGGCCAUGUGUGUGAGGCGUGAAAGCCCCGGGCUCAGCCCGGGAAGUGCGCUCGAAACUGCGCGGCUCGAGUGCCGGAGGGGAGAGUGGAAUUCCUGGUGUAGCGGUGAAAUGCGUAGAUAUCAGGAGGAAUACCGGUGGCGAAAGCGACUCUCUGGACGGCAACUGACGCUGAGGCACGAAAGCGUGGGGAGCAAACAGG
rnacentral:rRNA from 1 species